rnacentral:lncRNA from 10 species
GGAGCUUAGGACAGCGCCGGGCUCAAGAGAUGUGGCUACCUUCCCUCCUGCUUUCGGUACUCAGCGCAGGCAGGGUUCAGUGCAGCAAGUAACAGCUGUGGCUUACUGGAUUGUCUGCAACCAUUGGCGACUGAGAGAUCCCUGCAGCCCUCCCAGACCCUCGAUCUGACUGGAGCCAGGCCCACGUGGGGAAAGGGUUAAACGUUGGCAGUGACUUCACCCCUGCAUUGGAGCAGGCGGAGGCAGAGAACCUGCUGGAAGCUGUUCUGAACCAGAGAAGGAUGAAAAUAGCUGCCAAAGAUGUUGCCAUAGCAACUGCUUUCCUUCCUGACCUCCUUGGAAGUGAACUCCCUCAUUUUCCAGAGUAGUCAAGGAAUUUCUGUGCCUCUACCCAUGGCUUUGGUUACCAACUCAUCCCUGGGGGCCUUGGUUUCUUUCUGUGAAAUGGAAUAUUCAUUCCAGCACUCACCACCUUCUAGGCUGGAGUAAGGCUCCAACUUUGCAAAUGCUGUUAGUAAACUGUAGAGCUCCGUGCA